rnacentral:rRNA from 1 species
CCUACGGGGGGCUGCAGUGGGGAAUAUUGCACAAUGGGGGAAACCCUGAUGCAGCGACGCCGCGUGAGUGAAGAAGUAUUUCGGUACGUAAAGCUCUAUCAGCAGGGAAGAAAAUGACGGUACCUGACUAAGAAGCCCCGGCUAACUACGUGCCAGCAGCCGCGGUAAUGCGGAGGAUGCGAGCGUUAUCCGGAUUUAUUGGGUUUAAAGGGUGCGCAGGCGGGCUGUUAAGCCGGCGGUAAAAAUUCAGGGCUCAACCCUGUCGAGCCGUCGGAACUGGCAGUCUUGAGUGGGCGAGAAGUAUGCGGAAUGCGUGGUGUAGCGGUGAAAUGCAUAGAUAUCACGCAGAACGCCGAUUGCGAAGGCAGCAUACCGGCGCCCAACUGACGCUGAGGCACGAAAGCGUGGGGAUCGAACAGGAUUAGAUACCCGAGUAGUC